rnacentral:rRNA from 1 species
UACGUAGGGGGCAAGCGUUGUCCGGAUUUAUUGGGCGUAAAGAGCGUGUAGGCGGUCCGGUAAGUCCGCUGUGAAAGUCAAGGGCUCAACCCUUGAAUGCCGGUGGAUACUGUCGGGCUAGAGUCCGGAAGAGGCGAGUGGAAUUCCUGGUGUAGCGGUGAAAUGCGCAGAUAUCAGGAAGAACACCCGUGGCUAAGGCGGCUCUCUAGUACGGUACUGACGCUGAGGUGCGAAAGCGUGGGGAGCAAACAGG